rnacentral:rRNA from 1 species
CACGUAGGGGGCGAGCGUUGUCCGGAUUUAUUGGGCGUAAAGAGCUCGUAGGCGGCUCAGUAAGUCAGGUGUGAAAACUCCAGGCUCAACCUGGAGACGCCACCUGAUACUGCUGUGGCUAGAGUCCGGUAGGGGAGCAUGGAAUUCCUGGUGUAGCGGUGAAAUGCGUAGAUAUCAGGAGGAACACCGGUGGCGAAGGCGGCUAUCUGGACAGAGUCUGACGCUGAAGGCGCGAAAGCUAGGGGAGCAAACAGG